AUUGAACGCUGGCGGCAGGCUUAACACAUGCAAGUCGAACGAGUGGCGGACGGGUGAGUAAUGCUUGGGAAUCUGGCUUAUGGAGGGGGAUAACGACGGGAAACUGUCGAUAAUACCGCGUACCAUAGGAUGCGCCCAAGUGGGAUUAGGUAGUUGGUGGGGUAAAGGCCUACCAAGCUGACAAUCUCUAGAGGGUCUGCGAGGAUUAAUAGCCACCCCGGGCCUGAGAGACGUCCCGGAAUCCUCCGGGCGUCAGAAUUGGGGAAUAUUGCUCAAUGGGGGCCACCCUGACGCAGCCAUGCCGCGUGAAUGAAGAAGUCCUUCGGGUUGUAAAGUUCUUUCGGUAUUGCGGCGUUAAAUACAGAAGAAGCACCGGCUAACUCCGUGCCAGCAGCCGCGGUAAUAC
rnacentral:rRNA from 1 species